GCCAUUUUAAUAUGGUGAUUUAAUUUCAACGUGUGGAGGAGUUGGGAUGCCAAAAGUUGGCGUCCCUUGGAGAUUACAUGGCACCCCUUUAUUUUCUAUUUAAAGGGGGUGCUAAACCUUGUUUAAUCAUCCCAUUUUUGUUGAGAUGAGGCAUGAGAAUGAGAAGAAAAAUGGUGGUAAAAAAAUCUGAAAAAGAAAAAGAAAAAGAGGAAGAAAAAUAGAAAGGAAGAGA
rnacentral:lncRNA from 1 species